rnacentral:rRNA from 1 species
AUGCGAGCUGAGAGUCUUGAGACCGCGGCAGACUGCUCCGUAACACGUGGAUAACCUACCCUUGAGAGGGGAAUAAUUUCGGGAAACUGAAGCUAAUGCCCCAUAGGUGAAUAGCGCUGGAAUGCCUUUUCACUCUAGCCCCGGCGCUCAAGGAUGGGUCUGUGGCCUAUCAGGCUGUUGUUGGGGUAACGAACCGACAAACCUAUAACGGGUACGGGCUAUGGAAGUAGGAGCCCGGAAAUGGAUUCUGAAACACGAAUCCAGGCCCUACGGUGUGCACCAGGCGCGAAAACUUUACAAUGCAUUAACGUGCGAUAGGGGAAUCCGGAGUGAUCCAGCACAGCUGGAUCUUUUGCUCAUUCUAAAUGGAUGGGCGAAUAAGGGCUGGGCAAUACUGGUGCCAGCCGCCGCGGUAAUACCUGAGGCCCGAGUGAUGACCCCUAUUAUUGGGUCUAAAGCGUCCGUAGCCGGUUUGGUAAGUUCCUGGUGAAAUCGCCCGGUAGACUGGACGGCKUGCUGGGAAUACUACUAAACUUGAGACCGGGAGAGGGUGGGGGUACUUAUGGGGUAGGGGUUAAAUCCUGUAAUCCCGUGAGAACCACCUGUGGCGAAGGCGCCCACCUGGAACGGGUCUGACGGUGAGGGACGAAAGCUGGGGGAGCGACCGGAAUAAAAUACCCCGUUAGUCCACGCCGUAAACGAUGCCCGCUUGAUGUUGCCGGCUUCGUGGGAGUCGGCUGUGUCGUAGCGUACGUGUUAAGCGGGCCACCUGGAGAGUACGUCUGCAUGGCUGAACCUUAAAGGAAUUGGCGGGAGAGCACCACAAGGGGUGAAGCUUGCGGUUCAAUUGGAUUCAACGCCGGAA